rnacentral:rRNA from 1 species
AUUGAACGCUGGCGGCAUGCUUUACACAUGCAAGUCGAACGGUAACAGGUUAAGCUGACGAGUGGCGAACGGGUGAGUCAUGCAUCGGAACGUGCCCGAUCGUGGGGGAUAACGCAGCGAAAGCUGCGCUAAUACCGCAUACGAUCUGAGGAUGAAAGCGGGGGACCGUAAGGCCUCGCGCGAUCGGAGCGGCCGAUGUCAGAUUAGGUAGUUGGUGGGGUAAAGGCUCACCAAGCCGACGAUCUGUAGCUGGUCUGAGAGGACGACCAGCCACACUGGGACUGAGACACGGCCCAGACUCCUACGGGAGGCAGCAGUGGGGAAUUUUGGACAAUGGGCGCAAGCCUGAUCCAGCAAUGCCGCGUGCAGGAAGAAGGCCUUCGGGUUGUAAACUGCUUUUGUACGGAGCGAAAAGGCUCUCUCUAAUACAGGGGGCUCAUGACGGUACCGUAAGAAUAAGCACCGGCUAACUACGUG